rnacentral:rRNA from 1 species
UACAGAGGUCUCGAGCGUUAGGCGGAAUCACUGGGCUUAAAGCGUGUGUAGGCGGAUCGUUAAGUACCUUGUGAAAUCCCACGGCCUAACCGUGGAACUGCUUGGUAUACUGGCGGUCUUGAGCCAGCUAGGGGCUACCGGAACAAAUGGUGGAGCGGUGAAAUGCGUAGAUAUCAUUUGGAACGCCAAUGGUGAAAACAGGUAGCUGGGGCUGUGCUGACACUGAGACACGAAAGCCAGGGGAGCAAACGGG